UACGAGGGGUGCAAACGUUAUUCGGAUUUACUGGGUGUAAAGGGUGUGUAGACGGUUUGUUAAGUUCGUUGUUAAAUUUUUCAGCCUAACUGGAAACUUGCGAUGGAAACUGGCAGACUUGAGGGUGAAAGAGAGAAGUGGAAUUCUCGGAGUAGCGGUAAAAUGCGUAGAUCUCGAGAGGAACACCGAUGGCGAAAGCAGCUUCUUGGUUCACUUCUGACGUUGAAACACGAAAGCGUGGGGAGCAAACAGG
rnacentral:misc_RNA from 1 species